rnacentral:rRNA from 2 species
GAAGCGGCAACAGCUCAAAUUUGAAAUCUGGCGCAAGCCCGAGUUGUAAUUUGCAGAGGAUGCUUCUGGGCAGCGGCCGUUCUAAGUUCCUUGGAACAGGACGUCAUAGAGGGUGAGAAUCCCGUAUGUGACCGGCGCGCACCCUCCACGUAGCUCCUUCGACGAGUCGAGUUGUUUGGGAAUGCAGCUCUAAAUGGGAGGUAAAUUUCUUCUAAAGCUAAAUACCGGCCAGAGACCGAUAGCGCACAAGUAGAGUGAUCGAAAGAUGAAAAGCACUUUGGAAAGAGAGUUAAAAAGCACGUGAAAUUGUUGAAAGGGAAGCGCUUGCAACCAGACUUCGCGGCGGUGUUCCGCCGGUCUUUUGACCGGUCUACUCGCCGCCGCGAGGCCAACAUCGUCUGGGGCCGCCGGAUAAGACCAUGGGAAUGUGGCUCCCUCGGGAGUGUUAUAGCCCACGGUGAUGCGGCGUGUCCCGGGCGAGGUCCGCGCUUCGGCAAGGAUGUUGGCGUAAUGGUUGCCAGCGGCCCGUCUUGAAACACGGACCAAGGAGUCUAACAUCUAUGCGAGUGUUCGGGUGUCAAACCCCUACGCGUAAUGAAAGUGAACGGAGGUGGGAGCUUCGGCGCACCAUCGACCGAUCCUGAUGUCCUCGGAUGGAUUUGAGUAAGAGCAUAGCUGUUGGGACCCGAAAGAUGGUGAACUAUGCCUGAAUAGGGUGAAGCCAGAGGAAACUCUGGUGGA